UACGUAGGUGGCAAGCGUUGUCCGGAUUUAUUGGGCGUAAAGGGAGCGCAGGCGGUGACUUAAGUCUGAUGUGAAAGCCCACGGCUCAACCGUGGAAGGUCAUUGGAAACUGGGUCACUUGAAUAUAGAAGAGGAAAGUGGAAUUCCAUGUGUAGCGGUGAAAUGCGUAGAUAUAUGGAGGAACACCAGUGGCGAAGGCGACUUUCUGGUCUAUUAUUGACGCUGAGGCUCGAAAGCAUGGGUAGCAAACAGGAUUAGA
rnacentral:rRNA from 1 species